GAUGAACGCUAGCGGGAGGCCUAACACAUGCAAGCCGAGCGGUAUUGUUUCUUCGGAAAUGAGAGAGCGGCGUACGGGUGCGGAACACGUGUGCAACCCGCCUUUAUCUGGGGGAUAGCCUUUCGAAAGGAAGAUUAAUACUCCAUAAUAUAUUGAACGGCAUCGUUUAAUAUUGAAAGCUCCGGCGGAUAGAGAUGGGCACGCGCAAGAUUAGCUAGUUGGUGAGGUAACGGCUCACCAAGGCGAUGAUCUUUAGGGGGCCUGAGAGGGUGAUCCCCCACACUGGUACUGAGACACGGACCAGACUCCUACGGGAGGCAGCAGUGAGGAAUAUUGGUCAAUGGGUGCAAGCCUGAACCAGCCAUCCCGCGUGAAGGACGACUGCCCUAUGGGUUGUAAACUUCUUUUGUAUAGGGAUAAACCUACCCUCGUGAGGGUAGCUGAAGGUACUAUACGAGUAAGCACCGGCUAACUCCGUGCCAGCCGCCGCCGUAA
rnacentral:rRNA from 1 species